rfam:Hordeum vulgare subsp. vulgare, WGS project CAJW01000000 data, contig: morex_contig_229830
AUAGUACUCCCUCCGUCCGAAAAUAAUUGUCGAUGUGAUGCCUAGAAAUGAAUGUAUCUAGAACUAAAGGACGUCUAGAUACAUCCUUUCCUCCGUCAAGUAUUUCCGAAUGGAGGGGGUAUCAU